UACGGGGGGGGCAAGCGUUGUCCGGAAUCAUUGGGCGUAAAGCGCGUGUAGGCGGUUCGAUAAGUCUGCUGUGAAAGUCCAGGGCUCAACCCUGGGAUGCCGGUGGAUACUGUCGGGCUAGAGUGCGGAAGAGGCGAGUGGAAUUCCCGGUGUAGCGGUGAAAUGCGCAGAUAUCGGGAGGAACACCAAUGCGAAGGCAGCUCGCUGGGACGUAACUGACGCUGAGACGCGAAAGCGUGGGGAGCAAACAGG
rnacentral:rRNA from 1 species